ACUGUCGCUCAGCCGAGGGGCUGGGGAGGGCAGGAGGUGUGCGGGAGUGUGGUGUGAGUGUGCGAGCGGGCGCGUACGCUGCGGGCUCUGCCGUGCGCCCCCGCGCAUCCUGGGCUGCUGGCCGGUGUUCCUUCGCGUCCCCUUCCCCAGCCCGCCUGCGCUGAGGAGGGAGGGGGACGGGGGCGCCCUCCGCGCGGCGGCGGCGGCGGCGGCACUCACGGGAGUAGUUUGGGGAGAGGAGAAGAAGGUGUGGGGCAGGGAGGAAACAGUCGGGUGGGCGUUGGGGUCUCCUCUACCUGGCGGUUGGCGUGGAGGUGUGUGUGUGUGUGUGGUGUGUCGGUGUCUCUCAGCCUUGAAAAAAAAAAAAGGGGGGGAGAGGGGGAGGCAUGUCCGGGCGUUGUCAUUCAUCCCGAAACUUGCACCCUCUGUUCCCGGUUUCCGAUGGCGGAGGGUGCCGUCCUGGACGAGAGGAGGCUGCCGAGAACAUUCCAGCUGAAGCGGCCUGUCAGGCGGGCGCGGGCCUCGGAGGCCGGGCGGGGAGGCAGCGCCGGGGCUGGGAGCCGCUGCCCACCGCGGGUCUGGGGGCGGCUCCCGGAGCGGUCGCAGAUGCAGUUAAGGCUGUGUGAAGAGCGGAGUUGGAUCCCUUGCCUCUUAGGGACAGGAAGGAUGUUAGAUGUAAGCUGUGAUACCUGUCUUGGCUAUCACAAUGAAUGCAUUUGGAAGAGUCACUCACAAUGGUUUGUCAAUGGCUCUGUCCACCUCUUGAAGAGCAACCUGAUGGAAUUACCUUCUGUCUGAUUUAAUUGUUCCCAUCACGCUCCCCUCCAGCAACAGUUGUUACAGAAAUAUAGAAAAGGACUUUUUACAUACACACACACACAGAGUACUCCUCAGCUGAUGGACAAAGAACACUUUCCUCCCUUCAGGUAAGUUCUAACAAACCUGUGGCAACUCCUGUUAAAGAAGGUGAGUUACUACCUUGAAGUACCCAGUAGCACACAUGCAAAACUUUUUGUCAUAAUACUGGAAGCAGCAUUUUAGUCAUGGAGGCAUCACAAAACUGUUGAAAUUGAUCUGGAUUAUUUCCUUCAGCCUAUAAAGAACUCACAACCAGAAAUUAUGAGUCCUAUAGGCUGUUAUUAAGCUAAGGACCAUAGAAUAAGAGAAAAAGCAAUUAUUUCAUUACUGAAAUGCACAGAUAUAACUUCCAUUAUUUUUUGCAGGCUGAACCGAAAGUGAUGCUUCUACUGAUUGCACUGUUAUUCAAGAGAAGGCCAAUGUAGAAGUAGGCUGCAACUUCCUGUUGAGGGAAGACUAAAAUUCCUGGCUGUUGACUGAUACAAAUUUUAUUAUAAAAGAAAAUAAAGACCCAGGUGGUAGCUGCUACAUCUUUUUGCAAGGCAGACUGAGUCAUACAAAUCAUUCACACAAGGCUGGACUGAAAUCAGUUGUACAAUGUGAUUUUCAUUGCCAAGGUCUUCUAUGAAGCCUGUAACUGCCUGCUCUGGUCAAAGGAAACAGGCCAUUGAAGAAAAUUAAAAUACAUGGAAACAGUGUGACCAAGGUAAGAUGAUUUUGCUAGACUUGGGGAAAAUGCAAUUAACAACACCCAAUGCAUGCUUUAAGCUUAGCACAGGGACUGACAGAUGGACAUGAGCUUGCAUAUGAAGAGGGAAGCUGAAAUAACCAUUCCAAAUACAACCUAAACCAUGAAAGUGGAGCUGGAGGACUGGGCCAGACUAGCUCUGAAGAGUAAGGUAUCCCAAAUGAACAAUGCAGCCAUAAAUAAACUAACAACAUUUGGGAGAUUCAGAGUAGACAGGAAAAUAAAAUGUACAGUGAUGACAUUUUCAUGGUCUCACAUUUUAUGGACCUCCAACACUACUUCCUUGAUUUACACUUUUUUUUUUUUAAUGCAGAAGCGUGGAAUCUGAUGGAAAAUAAUAAAGACAGUAUUAGAAUGCAGCUCCUUCUGUGUCAGAGAGGAGGAAGUAUUAAACAGAGCUACACAAUAACUGCAAACAUCUGAGAAUACUCAUAAAUAUAGUUGAGAAGCAGAGCUUUCCAUGCAACAUCAGAGGCUUAUUGAAAUGACAAAAUAGGGGAAUAAUUACCAAACUGGUGAUGGCCAUCUCUGUUCAGUAUGUUUUGCACAGCUAUGGGUAUGCUGAGUGCCCUCAACUACCUGAGUGAGCUAUCGAGAUUUUGAAACACUGCAGGCUCGGACUUGUGCUGUAUUGGCAUCCCAGACUCCUAUUAGAAACAUCUGUUUGAGGUUUGGUGGUUUUGGUUUUUUCCUUCUCAUUUUUCUCCCUUUUGCUUUUGACUCUUUCCCCCCUCUAAGUUUCCCCUAGUGAUAUUUUCUCAGUUUUUGUCUUCUCUUUUGUCUUUUCUUUCCUGUCUCUCCAGGCAUCUUUAGCUGCGUCUGUCUGCACAGUGCCCUAUCUUGCAGAGUUAGUAGAUUCUUCAGAUGACCAGUGUUCUAGCUUUAGAAAAACCUGUUCUUUCCUUUUUUCUUAUUCCCACCACCUUUUACUGUCUGCAAAACCAGCUUGAGAGUGGCAGAGAAGCUCUCUGUCCUUCCAGAGACACAAUGCCACCUUACUUGGAAGUGGUUUUCCCUCACUUCUGCAGCUAAUGGAAUAAUUUCUCUUCCUAGUUACUUUGAUGUGUUUCUUCCUUAGUCUCCCAGUGAGUGAGACACCCAUGUGUGGGUUAUUGGCAGCCAGGCAUUUUAUCAUACCCUCUCUCAAGUAAUGGGUUUGAUUUUCCUGUUCAUUAUGGUUGCUCAACACGUGGUAAAGUGCUGCUUUUAGGACUCUCUAGUCUCUCAAAUUGGUGUAAAAGGGGUUUUGGCACAAGUAAGAAUAAAGACCAGUACUGUCAUUACCUGCUGUUCAAAAUUACUCGUUACUUACUUUUCUUUGUGAAAUUGGUGCUAUCAGUGAUAUGAGAGAGGGAGGAUGUUCUUGCCACUAAAAACACUGCACAGUGACUGGAGGGACCUCAGACUUAUUAGUAUUCUUGCCUAUUAGGUAGUGCAUAAUGCCCAUUAGGUAAUACAGCUUGAGUCCAGUUUUGGUCUCCAAAACAUGAAAAAACCUUGUAUUUUUAAAGGUGCUGGAGGAUUCAUUUUCUUUAGGAUUAAUUAUUGUUAGUACAACACAGAUGGCCCCACCACUCUUGUCUUCACAUAGAAUUAAACCAAAUGCCUCCUCACCUGCAAUAAUCACUUUUUGCAGAUGCUCUCAUUUUCUUCUCCUUGGCUAUAUUAAUUUGUAGGAUGUUCAUGAGAAGGACUUCUGCAUGGCCUGAGCUUUGUCUGUUUCAGAGCUGGAUAAAACCACUUAGAAAAAGGUAUGGUUCCAUAUUCUGAGUUUGUGUGGAGCACCAUCUUGCUUUAAAAUCAAUUUCUACCUUAUUUUUCAGUGGUUUCCCUUGAACAGGAGAAGAAAACUAUGUAUAUCUUCUUGUAGUUAUAAAAAAUUUAUCCUAAUCUGUGCUUAAAAACAAAUAGGUCAUAAGAUUUUCAAAAAUCUGACAUUUUAUGUUCCUUCCAUAGUUCCUUUUUGGUCAAAAUUUUCCCUUUGAAUGACUCUUGCAUAAGUCAUUUCCACAACAUUGGCACUUGACCUCAUACUUUUGUAAUAACUGUUAUAAUUUACUUCAGUCAUUUUCUUUGUUGAUGGGAUGACAUGUGCCUCCAUUAGAUGACCUUUUAAGUACCCUUUUUUUUUUUUAAGGAAAUAAAAACAAAUUUCCAGUCUGAAUAGGUUUUCUCUAUAUUUUAAAGUCUUCCUGCAAAAGUAUCUGGUGCAUCUUCUUGAAGGAGACAAGGAGCAUGAGUGUGCAGAUGCAUGUGAUCAUGUCUUCUCAAAGUCACAGUUUUCAGUGGGUGUAAAUAUACCAAGGCACUGCAUUGCACAGUGACAAAAAUUGCCAACAGUUGUCUGCUAAACAGCCAGGUCUCAAAGUUUUACUCCACUUGCAGCCAAUUCUGUCUUCAUAGAGGAUCUUCUGGAAUUUGCAAAACACUGUGGAAGAUACAGAAAUACUUCAGUAGAGUAAUUAUGCAUUCAGUAAAUCUCAUAUUAAUGGGGUAUUAUAUAGAAUUUUAUAUUGUCUUUAUUUUUAAUAAGAUGCAGACUAUUAACUUCAGAUAUCAGAAUUCAGGAAGUCCAUACUUUUUCAGUGUUUCUUCAGGCUGUCAGCAAACUUUGAAAGACUCACAUACUGUUCAACUUUUCAUUUUCACCUCAGAAACCAUGAGCACUAAAACCAUUGUUAGUAAAGAUGAGACAGACUUCGAAACAAUUCUGCAGAAGUGGAGAAAUUGGACAGGAGUUUCUGCAGUGAGGGUGAAUUUACACAUAUUUUUUACAUAUACACACACACAAAAUAUAUAAUAAUUUGCUGCAAGAGUUCCCUGAUUCAUUUAAGGUUAUGGUAUGAUGUAAUGAUUCCACCCUUUGUCCUUUAUUGAAACAUUAAUACACAUUUUGCACUGGGACAUGAAAGCAAUAUUUUACCACCUUCCACCUCUGUCUUUUAAUUUUGCUCUAAUUCUUUCUACACUGUCAUUCCAUUGGCUUCUGUUUGCAAGUUCAAUCUUUUAUUUUGCCCUGUUUCAAAUUUCAAAUUACCUGCUCUUUUCCAUUUGCCGUUGUGGCUACCUCAUUAUUCUGCUGCUUAUCUUUCUCCUAUGAUCAUCCCUUUCUUGGCAACAGUGGUGAAAGCCUUUCCAUGGAUUCAAAUGAUUAAAAAGGUAAUAGAAUUAGAGAAAGAAGCCUGAGGUCAAAUAAUAGUGCCGAUGUGAUUGUCUUCUUGGUCCUUCAUGACUCACCUGUGCUGGACCUCCUUCUUCCUUUCACAUAUGCAUACCAAUGAUAAAUAUUAUGCUGUGCAGGUGGGGGCCACUGGUAGCAUCCUAGGCCGCUGGCAUUAGGGAUAAAAUUACCACUGAUUUCUGUGUAAGUUGUAAAGGAUGUAGUGCUUUCUAUCUAGAAAGAUAAUACUAGUUCUCCCUUCCAAUCUUCUGCUUUUGGCACCAAGACAUUAACACACUUCAUGCAAGCUGGGUCUCUUCCCUGCAAGAGCACAAGUUUGGCUGUGUGUCCACCACAUUUCUCUGUGUAUUAGCCUACUCCCAUUUUCACUUAGAAGUGUCAAUACUGUCAUAAAGCUGAUUACAUUUGAAACAAAACUUUUCUUUUGGUGCCAUAAUGACUGAUGUAAAGGCCAUUUCCCAUUGCUUAAUGAAUUACUGCAGCAGCCGUCAGCUUUUAGCACAGGUGGCCAUUAGCUGCCAAGGAAUACCUGACCCCAAGCCUAUUAUUUAUUGGCUAUAAGUGUUCAACCAGACAGUCAUUACAUUAAGUAUGAAAUACUGUAAUUCCCUUUUUUAUGUGUUGAAAAGUUAGCAGCUGAACCACUCAUUGCCAUGCAUACCGCAGCCUGGUUGCAGGCGUGAUGAGAUGCAUCCCGAGGCACUGACCAUAGAAGGGACAGUCCUACCCUCUGCUGCCGGCCCUGUCCUGCUUGCUUGUGAGGCAGCGAGUACUAGAAAGGUGCUUCUCCAUCCUGCUUUCAGAGGUUUUUGGUUCAAACGCUCUUUCAGGUGCAAAUUGUCCUUUUCAAAGAGCAUGCUGCUGCUCUGCAGCUGCCGCUUCAGACCAUGAAAGUGCAAACAGAAGGCAAGUUCUCACAUGUAGUCUUGACCCUGGGUGAAAUGAUUCUGUUUCAAACCACAUUUGGGGUUGUUUAGAAAAAAUCCAGAACACCCUCCACAACAAGAAAUGUCACCAGUGAAUUCAGGUAGAUUCUGGCUCUUGUGGAGAGCAAGAGGAUCCUUGCAAUCAACUAUUGUCUUGACAGUUUCAGGCUUUUGUAUUUCCUGCUCUUUAAAGUAGGCUAGUUUCCUUCAAAGGGAUAACUUUCAAGGGUAAGUUCCCCUUGAAACUGUAUAGCAAAGAUGGUCCUUGUCCUGACUGAGCCCAAUUCCCAUGCACCAUUUCAAUAUUCCUGUCUAGGCAAGAGGGCUCUUCAGAGGAGAGGUUGAAAGAAUCAGGCUGCCUGCACUGGGAUGUGCACAGAGCUUGCCCUGUGCACAGCCAAUAGCUUGGACACAGGUGAAGGCCCAGAAUGGCAC